rnacentral:misc_RNA from 1 species
UACGGAGGGUGCAAGCGUUAUCCGGAUUCAUUGGGUUUAAAGGGUGCGUAGGCGGAAUAAUAAGUCAGUGGUGAAAUCCCAUAGCUCAACUAUGGAACUGCCAUUGAUACUGUUAUUCUCGAGUAUAGUUGAAGUGGACGGAAUGUAACAUGUAGCGGUGAAAUGCUUAGAUAUGUUACAGAACACCAAUCGCGAAGGCAGUUCACUAAGCUAUUACUGACGCUGAGGCACGAAAGCGUGGGGAGCGAACAGG